UCUGCAAAUGCGACCGAAGACAUAAGAACCAAACAAGAAGGGGCAGAGUUUCAGCCGAGCUACCAAAGAGACUAUAAUACCUUCAAGAUGUAAUCUGUUUGCAGACUUCUUUCAAGUCCUUCAACAGAUAUUGCCUACAGGAAACAAAAAGUUCUAAUCAACCACAGAGCUUAAAGGUUAGGCUCAAGGGAUAAGAGAGUGUUAGAGGAACGUACUUUCAUGAAACGAAAGAAUCAUGAUACAUUUUUCUUAAUGCACUCUGAGGAGACAUUGAUUGGUUGGUUUAUGAAUCCUACCUGUUCGGCUUCCAACACCCUGACAACGAGCUGAGAAGUCGACUGUCUCCCUCACUGUCAUCUCAGCAAUGUGCAGAUCAUAUUGGCUUAUGUACGCCGAUGUUUUCUGAGGAACAAACUCGUCAAGUCUAUGCCCAUUGUAGGAGAUUUCACCUGAACACUGUGGAAACAGAAAAGGAGGACCAAGCAACAAUGUUAACCUGCAAGAGCAAGAAGAUUUAUUAAACACACUUUGAUGGCAUAAAGUGAGCUUCACCAGUUCCUGGAUAAAAUCAAUACAAUAAAAAUUUCAAACUCGGAGGCUUUAAAGCACUCACAGAAUCAAGACAGCAACAGCUUUUUGAGUGUGCAGAAGUUGUUACUCACAGACAAAACACGCGUAGCAGUGUUCCACAGUGUUGGAAGUGCCUUCCCUUCAACAAUCUCGCACUCUGCCUCCACUUUUAAACCCUCAUACCUCACUUCUAUGGUCGGUAACUCCAUUCCAACUCUGCACAACCCAGUUUUAAUCUCAAAGUCCAAGAAUCCGAAAGAAUGGCGUUCCAUGGCUCCAAGCUUCGUGACAUCAACGACUCUUUUUCCUUUCUCAGUCAUGGACUCAUCACCAUCAUCAAGGAGAGUCGAUCUCAUGCGUUUCACGGUUGGCAAUCUCUCGAUCUCAGCCCAUUGCAGAGCAUACUCUGCAUUAGUAUCAUUGCCCUCACCAUCAUGAUCAGGUUCAUACCUCGAAGAGCCG